AUAAAUAAAUAGCUUUUGCCAGACAUUGAGUGGCUCAGUUACUGGUUGCGUUUAAAGUUUGCUCCGAUGGCGCAGAUUUGAGCGUUUUAGUGGUUGUUUUUUGUUUAGAAGGGUUCAGUUAUCAGCGUGUGGGCCUUAUCGCCGUCAUGGUUCUCUCUAGUUAUCUUUCUCCGGAUGUGAUCUAUCCUUGGUCAGGUUUUAUUUCUACCAAACUCCACAGAGCAAUCGACUAGGGAACAAUCCGACAAACAAGCUAACCAUUGGGCAGAUUAUGAUGCAUCUUUUUGGUUUUUACUGCCACGAGAGAAGCGUGCGUUUCAUAGCCGUUAGAUGGCUCUAUAUGCACUGAAAAAGAAAAACAACUAGAUUUGGAGGUUGGGAAAACGAGGAUCGUCGAGACGAAUUAUCGUGGUCCAUCUGUGAUGUCUUACGUACUUUGCAGUGUGGGUAGUGCCAUAUCUUCGGAGGAGUGUACGAGUUACUAGUGAAACGAGAUUGGAUAUCGUGUUGAUUCUUGUGAAAUUCGAAUAAUUUAAAUAAACAUGGCGACGAAGAAGGUUUUUUCUUGGGCACUGCUUUGACUCUCGUGUGAUAGUUUACAUGGCGACUGCUUCGACUGGCAGUACGAAUAUGUCGAUUGAAAGUUCGUCGAGCAGUACCACCGCAGAAGACUGUGGUGCACAUGUCAAGAUCGAAGAAGAUUUCCUAAAUUCGGGUCGAACGGGACGUCGAAAUGCCAUACCUGAUAUUUAUUGCCCUCAGUCAAGAGUCUCCACAGCAGAACUACCUGGAAAUUUUGCCAGGCUCUCAUGUGAAGAGUCUGGCCAAAGCCAAGUUUCAUCGAGCACCAAUCUGGGGCCCAACUCCUGAUAGAAUGACUCCA